rnacentral:rRNA from 1 species
AGUGAACGCUGGCGGUAGGCCUAACACAUGCAAGUCGAACGGCAGCACAGUAAGAGCUUGCUCUUACGGGUGGCGAGUGGCGGACGGGUGAGGAAUACAUCGGAAUCUACUUUUUCGUGGGGGAUAACGUAGGGAAACUUACGCUAAUACCGCAUACGACCUACGGGUGAAAGCAGGGGAUCUUCGGACCUUGCGCGAUUGAAUGAGCCGAUGUCGGAUUAGCUAGUUGGCGGGGUAAAGGCCCACCAAGGCGACGAUCCGUAGCUGGUCUGAGAGGAUGAUCAGCAACAAUGGAACGGAGACACGGGCCAGACUCCUACGGGAGGCAGCAGUGGGGAAUAUUGGACAAUGGGCGCAAGCCUGAUCCAGCCAUACCGCGUGGGUGAAGAAGGCUUUCGGGUUGUAAAGCCUUUUUGUUGGGAAAGAAAAGCAGCAGGUUAAUACCCCGCUGUUCUGACGGUACCCAAAGAAUAAGCACCGGCUAACUUCGUG